CCUACGGGUGGCAGCAGUGGGGAAUAUUGGGCAAUGGAGGCAACUCUGACCCAGCAACGCCGCGUGAGUGAUGAAGGUCUUCGGAUUGUAAAACUCUUUAAGUGGGGACGAAGAAAGUGACUGUACCCACAGACUAAGCCUCGGCUAACUACGUGCCAGCAGCCGCGGUAAUACGUAGGAGGCAAUCGUUCUCCGGAAUGACUGGUCGUAAAGGGUGCGUCGGUGGUUUGACAAGUUAGUAGCGUAAUUCCGGGGCUCAACUUCGGAACUACUACGAAAACUGUUGAGCUGGAGUGCAGGAGAGGAGAAUGGAAUACCUAGUGUAGCGGGGGAAUGCGUAGAUAUUAGGAGGAACACCAGCGGCGAAGGCGAUUAACUGGACUGUAACUGACACUGAGGCACGAAAGCGUGGGGAGCAAACAGGAUUAGAUACCCGAGUAGUC
rnacentral:rRNA from 1 species